rnacentral:rRNA from 1 species
AACGCGAAGAACCUUACCUGGGCUAGACAACGGCGGACCGCCUGAGAAAUCAGGCUUUCCCUUCGGGGACUGCCGGUUCAGGUGUUGCAUGGCUGUCGUCAGCUCGUGUCGUGAGAUGUUGGGUUAAGUCCCGCAACGAGCGCAACCCUCGGCCUUAGUUGCCAUCAUUUAGUUGGGCACUCUAAGGCGACUGCCGGUGAUAAGCCGGAGGAAGGUGGGGAUGACGUCAAGUCCUCAUGGCCCUUACGGGCUGGGCUACACACGUGCUACAAUGGCGGUGACAGAGGGAUGCAAAGGGGCGACCCUUCGCAAAUCUCAAAAAGCCGUCUCAGUUCGGAUUGGGGUCUGCAACUCGACCCCAUGAAGUUGGAAUCGCUAGUAAUCGCAGAUCAGCACGCUGCGGUGAAUACGUUCCCGGGCCUUGUACACACCGCUGUA